GAUGAACGCUGACAGAAUGCUUAACACAUGCAAGUCAACUUGAAUUUGGGUUUUUAACUUAGGUUUGGGUGGCGGACGGGUGAGUAACGCGUAAAGAACUUGCCUCACAGCUAGGGACAACAUUUGGAAACGAAUGCUAAUACCUAAUAUUAUGAUAAUAGGGCAUCCUAUAAUUAUGAAAGCUAUAAGCGCUGUGAGAGAGCUUUGCGUCCCAUUAGCUAGUUGGAGAGGUAACGGCUCACCAAGGCGAUGAUGGGUAGCCGGCCUGAGAGGGUGAUCGGCCACAAGGGGACUGAGACACGGCCCUUACUCCUACGGGAGGCAGCAGUGGGGAAUAUUGGACAGUGGACCGAGAGUCUGAUCCAGCAAUUCUGUGUGCACGAUGAAGUUUUUCGGAAUGUAAAGUGCUUUCAGUUGGGAAGAAACAAAUGACGGUACCAACAGAAGAAGUGACGGCUAAAUACGUG
rnacentral:rRNA from 1 species